rnacentral:rRNA from 3 species
UACAGAGGUCCCAAGCGUUGUUCGGAUUCAUUGGGCGUAAAGGGUGCGUAGGCGGCAGUGUAAGUUGGACGUGAAAUCCUGGGGCUUAACCUCAGAAUUGCGUUCAAUACUGCAUUGCUAGGGCGCUGUAGAGGAGAUUGGAAUUUACGGUGUAGCAGUGAAAUGCGUAGAUAUCGUAAGGAAGACCAGUGGCGAAAGCGAAUCUCUGGGCAGCAGCCGACGCUGAGGCACGAAGGCCAGGGGAGCAAACGGG